ensembl:lncRNA
CCUGAGGCCCCUACCCAUGGUUCACUUGUACAGCACGUUAGCCCAUGUGGAUUUCGUCAUCUUUCCCUUCAGGGCAGGACAAGCAAAGAGAAGACUUCGAUAUGUCUUUGGAAGCACCAAAGAAAAAUUUGACCUUCGCUAAUGCCUCAAUCAGCAGCUUGACUUCAGGGCAUCCUCAGAAGUGACCAGAAAUGAAAUUCUCAAGGCACUUCCCAUAGAAUAUAUUAGGCACUCAAGACGAAGGCACUGGUAAUUCAGCUCAAGGUAUGUAACUAUCACACAGGAAUUAUUUUAUAAAGUAUGGGUGUCAGCAGAUAUAUUUUUGAAAUAGAAUUGAGUGUGAAAAUCUUUGAGUGACAACGUAUCAUUGUACUAUUUAGUGCCUUCCAGUUUUAGAGGAGAGUGAAAAAUGUAUAGUCAUUUAGACUUUUGACAUUGUGGGUGUACUUUAAAAUGAACGUGACAGUGAAUACUAUUCUUGAAUUGUCUUUUGAUACCAAAAAAAGAAACACACAUUUGGCUUACUUAACAUAUCUGUAGACACAGAAGAUUAUAUGAUUCCUUCCCCUAGUUAAGUCAAUCCCUGGUCAUGGUACACACCGCACAUUUGGGGAGUGGUUUCUCUUUGCAAGUACUUAUUAUGAGGUUAGCUCAUCCUCCUGGCCAAAACUGUUUCAUGAGCUU